rnacentral:rRNA from 1 species
UGGGGAAUAUUGCACAAUGGGCGCAAGCCUGAUGCAGCCAUGCCGCGUGUGUGAAGAAGGCCUUCGGGUUGUAAAGCACUUUCAGCGAGGAGGAAGGGUUCAGUGUUAAUAGCACUGUUCAUUGACGUUACUCGCAGAAGAAGCACCGGCUAACUCCGUGCCAGCAGCCGCGGUAAUACGGAGGGUGCAAGCGUUAAUCGGAAUUACUGGGCGUAAAGCGCACGCAGGCGGUUUGUUAAGUCAGAUGUGAAAUCCCCGCGCUUAACGUGGGAACUGCAUUUGAAACUGGCAAGCUAGAGUCUUGUAGAGGGGGGUAGAAUUCCAGGUGUAGCGGUGAAAUGCGUAGAGAUCUGGAGGAAUACCGGUGGCGAAGGCGGCCCCCUGGACAAAGACUGAC